CCUACGGGUGGCAGCAGUGGGGGAUAUUGCACAAUGGGGGGGAACCCUGAUGCAGCGACGCCGCGUGGGUGAAGAAGCGCCUCGGCGCGUAAAGCACUGUCAGCAGGGAAGAAAAUGACGGUACCUGGAGAAGAAGCCCCGGCUAACUACGUGCCAGCAGCCGCGGUAAUACGUAGGGGGCAAGCGUUAUCCGGAUUUACUGGGUGGAAAGGGGGCGCAGGCGGGGAUGCAAGCCGGGUGUGAAAACCAGCGACCUAACCUCGUGGCGGCACUUGGAAAGGCGUGUCUGGAGUGAAGGAGGGGCAGGCGGAAUUCCUGGUGUAGCGGUGAAAUGCGUAGAUAUCAGGAGGAACACCAGUGGCGAAGGCGGCCUGCUGGACUGCUACUGACGUUGAGGCCCGAAAGCGUGGGGAGCAAACAGGAUUAGAUACCCCGGUAGUC
rnacentral:rRNA from 1 species